rnacentral:rRNA from 1 species
AUGUCUCCUAACCCUAGGCCUCACCAAACCCUCGCUCUCUCCCUCACCUUCGCUCUCUCGCGCCGCCAGAGCCUCUGGCUUGAUCCUCUCCUCCCUCUCCCUUCGUUCCCCUCUGACUCCUUCCUCCUCUGCCACGACCAAACCUCCCCCCAGCGCGCCCGCUCUCGAUCCCCCUCCUCCCUCUUCGAUCUCCCAGCGCCGCCAACCCCUAUCAUCUUCCUCGAUCUGAUCCACUCACCCCCUCCUAGCGCCGCCGGCAGGGCACCGCGCCCGACCCUACGCCACCUCGUCGCGCCGGCCGACCAUCGGAGUUGUUGUCGUCUCCUCCGCCGCCCUUCGCGCGAGCCCCGUGCCCUGGUCUUCUUACCCGCCUCCUUGCCAUGGCCACGGGCACCUCAAGCCAGCAGGACGCCGCCUAGGGACGCGCCCGUCCCCGAGCUUCGAUCUGCCCCUCGACGAGCCUCCGUGCAGCAGCCACCUUCCUGGAUGCGCCUCGUGUUUCUUCGUCCUCCAGCCGCGCCUGAGAGAGCUCCCCGAAGCCGGCGCCGUGUUCCUCCAGCACCACCACCAUGGCGCGUCUUGCUUCUUCCCCAGCACCCAAUCCUUCCCUUCUGCUCCCUCAAGCAUGGCCCUUCACGCGCCCCUGUGCUACAGCCGACGCCUCUGCUCGUCAUGGCCGCCGGCCAUGGAGGCCUCCGUGCUGGCCCUGGUGUGUUCUUGGAGCCACUGUACCAUGGCCAAGUCCCGCGGCCGUCGCCCCUGCAUCGCGCCAUGUCCCUGCGUCGUGCCCCUGUUGUUGUUGACGCCAAGUCCAACGGUCACCGAACAGGGAAUAUGCCGAGUACCAGGUCAACAAAAUCGCCAAGUUCGUCUUUCGAUGUCUCCAAAAUCGCCAAGUUCCACGACGACCCAAGUACCGCGAGAACGUUUGUACCUCUACCGUCGCCGUGGAUCCGACAAGUACCCGUACAACAAGUGUACCUCUACCGUCGUCUUCGGAAUCGCUAA